AUGUGGCUUUUAUUUAAUAAUAAUAAUAAUAAUAUCUUUAUUUCACAAACUUAGAACUAUAUUACAAUGAUAAUGUGGCAACAAUAUCAGAAGUAAUGAGAUUAGCAUCUGUAACCGAACUAGGCAUAGCCUGUAUCUCGGCUAUCAGCACCAUUCCCUUCCAGUAAUUAUUUAUUAUACCAUAAUAGGUGCCAGGAGAUAUAUAUCUUAUACAUUCAUUUAAUAUAUACAUUAGCUUUAAGUUUGUAAGACGACGAUUACAUAAACUUCUAAUUUAUUUCA